UCGAAUGGGACAGAAAUCUAAGUUGCUACACCAAUGAAAACUAAUACUCAUGCAACCUCAUCAAGUAAAAGAAAAAAAACAAAACAAAACAAAGCAAGAUGGUUGCUACCUUCCAUCAAUAUUAAUUCAGCUGACAAAUGGCAGUGGUCCUGCAAGAGUCGUAGUUCUGUAGUGCAUGAACUUCCAGCGAGAGCAAGCCGAAAAGAAAGGGACAAUAAAGGCACUCGAUCGGCCGUCGUCGCCCUUUGAACGCAUGGCCACAACGAGUGAACCGCUGCUCUCCAAGAGCUCUCGUCCAGAUGAGCGGAGCGAAGAGCAUGGCAGCGCGAUCGCCGCCGCCCAUUCGUCAAUGGUCUUCGUGGCAGAGAUCGGAGAGCUCGGAGACAUCGGCUCCAUAAGAGGACCAGGAGAUUUCUGGAGGGAGUUCGUAGUGGAGUCCAAGAAGCUAUGGUACCUCGCCGGCCCCGCCAUCUUCACCUCCAUAUGCCAGUACUCCUUGGGCGCCAUCACCCAGAUGUUCGCCGGCCAAGUCGGCACGCUCGAGCUCGCCGCCGUCUCCGUCGAGAACUCCGUCAUCGCCGGCUUCUCCUUCGGCAUCAUGUUGGGGAUGGGGAGUGCUCUGGAGACGCUGUGCGGGCAGGCGUACGGAGCGGGGCAGCUGGACAUGUUAGGGGUGUACAUGCAGCGGUCCUGGGUGAUCCUGAACACGACGGCGCUGCUGCUGAGCCUGCUCUACGUGUUCUCGGGGCCGGUGCUGCGGCUAAUCGGGCAGACGGAGGAGAUCGCAGGCGCGGCGGGAACGUUCUCGGUGUGGAUGAUCCCGCAGCUGUUCGCGUAUGCGAUGAACUUCCCCAUCGCCAAGUUCUUGCAGGCGCAGAGCAGGAUGAUGGCGAUGGCGGUGGUGUCGGUGGUGGCGCUGCUGCUGCACGUGCUGUUCAGCUGGCUGUUGAUUCUGAGGCUGGGGUGGGGGCUGGUCGGGGCGGCGGUCGUGCUCAACGCCUCCUGGUGGCUCAUCGUGCUGGGCCAGCUCGCCUACAUCUUCGGUGGGGCCUGUGGCCGGGCUUGGUCGGGCUUCUCCUUGAAGGCAUUCGCCAACCUUUGGGGAUUCGUCAGGUUGUCUAUCGCCUCCGCCGUGAUGCUCUGCUUGGAGGUUUGGUAUUUUAUGGCAUUAAUUCUUUUUGCUGGUUAUCUCCAAAAUCCUGAAGUUUCAGUUGAUGCUUUGUCAAUAUGCAUGAAUAUUCUUGGAUGGACUAUUAUGGUUGCUAUGGGAGCUAAUGCAGCAACAAGUGUUAGGGUGUCUAAUGAACUUGGGGCAGGUCAUCCAAGAACAGCAAAGUUUUCUGUUGUUGUAGUUGUUAUAACUUCAUUCUUCAUAGGUGUUUUCCUUUCUCUUAUCUUGAUAAUCACAAGGAAGCAAUAUCCGUCGGCAUUUACAAAUAAUAAUGACGUGAAAAGACUUGUUUAUGCUCUCACUCCGUUGCUGGCAACAUCUAUUGUAAUCAAUAAUGUUCAACCUGUUCUUUCAGGUAAAUUCCAACUGGGGAAAAUCAUUUGUCAGGAACAUAAAACACAAUGAAGCUCUACAUGAAUCUUUUUGUCAUUUUAUUUGUGACGAAGAACUUUAAUACGUAUAGGUGUGGCCAUUGGAGCUGGAUGGCAAGCAUUGGUUGCAUAUGCGAACAUUGCUUGUUAUUAUAUAUUUGGCAUUCCCCUAGGCCUUAUAAUGGGUUAUAAGCUUGACAUGGGUGUUCGGGGAAUUUGGUUUGGAAUGUUAUCAGGCACUAUCGUACAAACACUAAUCCUAUUCUGGAUGACAUAUCGGACAAAUUGGAACAAAGAGGCUUCAAUAGCUGAGGAAAGGAUAAGAAGAUGGGGUGGAGAACCAGAAGUAAAGACAAUGCUCUAGAGGAUUGAAAUAAAGGGCAAAUAAGGCACAUGAGUGGCCUUCAGGAAUUCUCUUUAAAAUUUUAGUUUAUUUUUUUGAGUAGCAAACAAUGUGUAACAAACAUUUCGUUCACUGAUCUGAUUCUUACAAAAGGAACAACUUCUUUUUGGACUUCA